rnacentral:rRNA from 1 species
UACGGGAGGCAGCAGUGGGGGAUAUUGCACAAUGGGGGGAACCCUGAUGCAGCGACGCCGCGUGAGUGAAGAAGUAUUUCGGUAUGUAAAGCUCUAUCAGCAGGGAAGAAAGGCCCUUAGGGGAGAUGACGGUACCUGACCAAGAAGCCCCGGCUAACUACGUGCCAGCAGCCGCGGUAAU